UAACAUUUUCUACCAUUCAGAAAAGUUUUUAUAUGAGAACCUAAAUCAUAAAUAAAAAAUUUCAAAUGAAAUUGUUAUCUUUAUUCGCGAUUCUUCUUCUUCUCAAUCUCUUUGUUAGUACUAAUAGUUUCCGACUGGAUUAUGUGGCAAGUGGGUCAAGCAUACCGGACUGCUCGCACGCGUGUGGACCAUGUACACCAUGCAAGCUCGUUAUGGUCAGCUCCAAGUGCUCCGCCUCAGAGUCCGAGGCUUGUCCUGUCGUCUACAAGUGCUUGUGCAAAGGCAAAUACUAUCACGUGCCUUCUAUAGCCUAACCCCCUCCUCACGUUAUAUCAUCCGCUUAAGAGAUCCUAAGGUGAAAACAUCGGAGCAUAAAGCCUACCAGGAUGAAGUUCUUCGUAGUUGCACAAAAAGCACCUGAGUAUAAACCUAGUGUAAUCACCUAAGUUUUUGUUUGUAAAAUGUCUUUGCAAUUGCAGUCUUUGCUAGCGAAAGGAUAUGACUUAGUGUCUGGAGUCACCGAGAAAUCUUACAUCACAUAAAUAUAUUUAAGAAAAGGUUAUCUUAUUACCACAGAAGAUUACCUCCUCUUUCUUCAACUUCGAUCUGUUCGGCAAACCAAAGCCUUCUCGGCGAAGGUUAUCUUCGAACCUGGAAAUCUGGAAUAUAUCAAAAUCCCUUGUCAUCUCUCCAUGUAUACCAUCCUCUUCAUAACAAAACUCAGAAAGGCAAAUAGUUAACAUUUACCAAAGGAUCUCUGCAAGGUUGUACCUAAUUAACAAAAAAAAAGCAUUAGUCUUCUGGUUAUGACUUCAGAACUAUAGCAUUAAGUUUAGAGAAACAAAUCUCCAUAUGAAAAAUCAACUUACUUGGGUCGGAAAGGGUACUAGCUAUCUCAGCCAUGUUGGCAUAAACUGCAUCAUUAUUCUUAUCUUGCACAGUCUACAGUAUAAAAGAUUUAAUCACCAAUCCCACAUUCAGAAAACUACUUGUAUAUUUUUCAUCAUAAGUAUACAUUAGUUUUCAAAUGACUAGUAAAAAAAUACUUCUCAUCAUUACUAUAAGCAAACUCAACAAAGCAACAUCAUAAGCAUACUGAGAAGAGAUUACCAUAGUGUAUGCAA